UAGGCUGUAGCUUAAUAAGAAGCAUCUCAGUUACGUUGGGAAGAUCAUCAUGUUAUGGUGUGGCUUAA
rnacentral:tRNA from 1 species